CCUACGGGAGGCAGCAGUGGGGAAUAUUGCACAAUGGGGGAAACCCUGAUGCAGCGACGCCACGUGAGUGAAGAAGUAUUUCGGUAUGUAAAGCUCUGUCAGCAGGGAAGAAAAUGACGGUACCUGACCAAGAAGCACCGGCUAACUACGUGACAGCAGCCGCGGUAAUACGUAGGGGGCAAGCGUUAUCCGGAUUUACUGGGUGUAAAGGGAGCGUAGACGGGAGGGCAAGUCUGGAGUGAAAGGCGGGGGCUUAACCCCCGGACUGCUCUGGAAACUGCUAGGCUGGAGUGCAGGAGAGGUAAGUGGAAUUCCUAGUGUAGCGGUGAAAUGCGUAGAUAUCAGGAGGAACACCAGUGGCGAAGGCGGCUUACUGGACUGUAACUGACGUUGAGGCUCGAAAGCGUGGGGAGCAAACAGGAUUAGAUACCCUAGUAGUC
rnacentral:rRNA from 1 species